rnacentral:rRNA from 1 species
AGCAGCAGCCGCGGGAACACAGAGGGUGCGAGCGUUAAUCGGAUUUACUGGGCGUAAAGCGUGCGUAGGCGGCUUCUUAAGUCGGAUGUGAAAUCCCUGAGCUUAACUUAGGAAUUGCAUUCGAUACUGGGAAGCUAGAGUAUGGGAGAGGAUGGUAGAAUUCCAGGUGUAGCGGUGAAAUGCGUAGAGAUCUGGAGGAAUACCGAUGGCGAAGGCAGCCAUCUGGCCUAAUACUGACGCUGAGGUACGAAAGCAUGGGGAGCAAACAGGAUUAGAUACCCCCGUAGUCCCUGUCUCUUAUAC